rnacentral:lncRNA from 1 species
GUACUCCCGGGUGUCAGGGACAUCAGGUCGGCAUAGUUCGCCCCUCAGGACGAAUUGCAACCAAAGAGAAGUGUGAAUCCCAUGCGCAGGCUAUACUGCGGGGAGAAGAAAGUUUGAUCCCAUAAUGGAGAUAAACUGUAGGUGUAGAAAAAGUUUGAUCUUUUUUUUAGGAUAAACUGCAAGCGUAGAAAAGUUUAAUCCCGUAUUUAGGAUAAACUGCAGGUAUGAAAGGUUAAAUCCCGUGUGUAGGAUAACCAAAAUUGUAUGGAAGGUUUAAAAUGUGGUGAAACCAGGCUGCUGGUUCCAAAUGAGGUGAAACCUGGCUGCUGGUUUGAAGUGUAUGUUUCCCUGAGGGGCAGAAGAGUUUGAAAAAAGAGGGUUAAAAACCGGAAUGACUGGUGAUUGGAUGAUCAAUACCAGGAUGUUUGCUUGAUGGUAACUUCAGACAUAGUACCAUUUCACGGUGUCCGAGUUGAUAAGCUAUGGAAAUUCAUCGCCAUCCAUUUCUUGUAGUCUGAGAGCACCUCCUAUCAAUACCUCCUUGACAACAUUGUAUACAAUGCUUUCAAAGUUUCUACGAUAUUCUAAUGAAUAAUCAAGAAUCAAUUUUACGCAAUAGAAAAGUGGAAUGUUUUCCAGAUUUAUGUUGAGUGAUCACACAAGACCUAAAACUUUUCUUCUCGGGUAUCUAUCAAAGAUUUACCUUGAUAUAUACUCAGGUGUAUCAGAUAACCAUAAAGAUCAAAUAAUACCCCUCUGC